rnacentral:rRNA from 1 species
AUAAAUCACAAUGCGGAACAAUGUUUUGCAAUUGGAUUGAGAACAACGUACAAACCUUCGAUAAACAAUUGGAGGGCAAGUCUGGUGCCAGCAGCCGCGGUAAUUCCAGCUCCAAUAGCGUAUAUUAACGUUGUUGCAGUUAAAAAGCUCGUAGUUGAAAUGAAGGGUAGUUGUGUAAUGAAUACAUUCGUGUAUUUUGUUAUUCUACUACCCUCCUUCUAAAUUCGAUAUAUGAGUAUUAAUUUACUUGUAUAUGGUUUUAGACGUUUACUGUGAGAAAAUUAGAGUGUUCAAAGCAGGCAUUUGCUUGAAUAUAUUAGCAUGGAAUAAUCAUGUAUGAUUUUCAUGAUGUAUUUGAUUGGUUUGGUUCAUGAGAAUAAGAUUAAAAGGGACAGUUGGGGGUAUUCAUAUUCAAUAGUCAGAGGUGAAAUUCUCGGAUUUAUGGAAGAUGA